CCUACGGGGGGCUGCAGUGGGGAAUAUUGGACAAUGGGGGUAACCCUGAUCCAGCCAUGCCGCGUGUGUGAAGAAGGCCCUCGGGUUGUAAAGCACUUUCAGUGAGGAAGAACGCCUGGUGGUUAAUACCCAUCAGGAAAGACAUCACUCACAGAAGAAGCACCGGCUAACUCCGUGCCAGCAGCCGCGGUAAUACGGAGGGUGCGAGCGUUAAUCGGAAUUACUGGGCGUAAAGCGCGCGUAGGUGGCUUGAUAAGCCGGUUGUGAAAGCCCCGGGCUCAACCUGGGAACGGCAUCCGGAACUGUCAAGCUAGAGUGCAGGAGAGGAAGGUAGAAUUCCCGGUGUAGCGGUGAAAUGCGUAGAGAUCGGGAGGAAUACCAGUGGCGAAGGCGGCCUUCUGGACUGACACUGACACUGAGGUGCGAAAGCGUGGGUAGCAAACAGGAUUAGAUACCCGGGUAGUC
rnacentral:rRNA from 1 species